CCUCCCACCCGUGUUUAUUUACCUCGUUGCUUCGGCGGGCCCGCCUUAACUGGCCGCCGGGGGGCUCACGCCCCCGGGCCCGCGCCCGCCGAAGACACCCCCGAACUCUGCCUGAAGAUUGUCGUCUGAGUGAAAAUAUAAAUUAUUUAAAACUUUCAACAACGGAUCUCUUGGUUCCGGCAUCGAUGAAAAACGCAGCGAAAUGCGAUACGUAAUGUGAAUUGCAAAUUCAGUGAAUCAUCGAGUCUUUGAACGCACAUUGCGCCCCCUGGUAUUCCGGGGGGCAUGCCUGUCCNAGCGUCAUUGCUGCCCUCAAGCCCGGCUUGUGUGUUGGGCCCCGUCCUCCGAUUCCGGGGGACGGGCCCGAAAGGCAGCGGCGGCACCGCGUCCGGUCCUCGAGCGUAUGGGGCUUUGUCACCCGCUCUGUAGGCCCGGCCGGCGCUUGCCNAUCAACCCAAAUUUUUAUCCAGGUUGACCUCGGAUCAGGUAGGGAUACCCG
rnacentral:rRNA from 1 species